rnacentral:misc_RNA from 1 species
UCUCCGUUGGUGAACCUGCGGAGGGAUCAUUACAGAGUUCUCGCCCUCGCGGGUAGAUCUCCCACCCACUGUUAUCGUUACUGUGUUGCUUUGGCGGGCCGCCGGGCCCCGCUCGGCCGCCGGCUCCGGCUGGCGCGCGCCCGCCAGAGGCCCAGCAAACUCUGAAUGUUAGUGUCGUCUGAGUACUAUAUAAUAGUUAAAACUUUCAACAACGGAUCUCUUGGUUCUG